CUUGCUCGCCCCCAUCACUGAGCCCAGUAGAAGAAAUGUUGUCCCACCGGUAUGAUACAGUUCGGUGUGGUCCACGCAGUGACGUCACGUGAGGUCCUGGCAGAGGUUCGGAGCUUCGGAGAGGGUGAGCAGCAGCGAUGAUCCUUCUCCGGGCCCCGGGGUGACGGCAGCGACACAUACAAUCAACUGUAAUGAGUUAAUUUCCUCCGAGAACGGAAAAUGAAGGGAGAAUUGAAUGAAUGGUAGAGGACGUAUGAAAUAGUACAGAGACUGCCAGUUCUUAUGAGCACCGAAUACACGUGAGUGUUGGUGAGCGACUGUUGUUACCUGACCAAGAUGACAGUGAUGCCUGAGUUGACCUCUCAGGAGGCCAGGGCGGCGCAGCGGAGGGCGAUGACGCAGCAGCGGUUGCGGCGGUGCAUCGCAGGUGAGUGGGUCAG